rnacentral:rRNA from 1 species
AUGCUCUUCAAGGCAUUGGCUUCCCUGCAUGAAGUAGGAAGUGUUGCUUCAGGCGAUCUCAACUUUAUAUCAAUUCCGCGAGUGGAUUUAACAAGUGACGCAAUUUCUUCUAUGGGUUCCCCUAUGAAUGAUGUAAACCCUUUCUCCUCUACCAAUCUUGGAGCUGGUAUGUCAUCUUCUGAUUUGCAAGACCAAGGGGCAUCAAGAAGAGAUGAAGCUGAGCGUGCGACGUCAGCCAACUCUGAACAAAAGGGAGUGGAGUUGAUGAAAAAGAGGAAGCACAGCCAGGUCGCUUUGGCGCUUGAGGACUACAUAGAUUUCCGGAAGAAGCAAGAUGCAAAAUUAGAUGAAGCGUUAAAGGAAUCAAAAAAAAGCGAAGGCGCUAUGGCUUUUCAAGUGCCCAAUGAAUCGAGAGAUUUUUAUCAAUACCAAGAACCCAAGGAUUAG